UACGUAGGGGGCGAGCGUUAUCCGGAAUUAUUGGGCGUAAAGGGUGCGUAGGCGGCGGGAUAAGUUAUUGGCGGCAAAUCGAGGCUCAACCUCGUGGAAACUGAUAAUACUGUCUUGCUUGAGUACAGAAGAGGUUAACGGAACUCCAUGUGGAGCGGUAAAAUGUGUAGAUAUAUGGAAGAACAUCAAUAACGGCGAAGGCAGUUAACUAUUCUGUUACUGACGUUGAGGCACGAAAGCGUGGGGAGCAAAAAGG
rnacentral:rRNA from 1 species